GUGGGGAAUUUUGGACAAUGGGCGAAAGCCUGAUCCAGCAAUGCCGCGUGCAGGAUGAAGGCCCUCGGGUUGUAAACUGCUUUUGUACGGAACGAAAAGCCUGGGGCUAAUAUCCCCGGGUCAUGACGGUACCGUAAGAAUAAGCACCGGCUAACUACGUGCCAGCAGCCGCGGUAAUACGUAGGGUGCAAGCGUUAAUCGGAAUUACUGGGCGUAAAGCGUGCGCAGGCGGUUUUGUAAGACAGUGGUGAAAUCCCCGGGCUCAACCUGGGAACUGCCAUUGUGACUGCAAGGCGAGAGUGCGGCAGAGGGGGAUGGAAUUCCGCGUGUAGCAGUGAAAUGCGUAGAUAUGCGGAGGAACACCGAUGGCGAAGGCAAUCCCCUGGGCCUGCACUGACGCUCAUGCACGAAAGCGUGGGGAGCAAACAGGAUUAGAAACCCCAGUAGUCC
rnacentral:rRNA from 1 species